rnacentral:lncRNA from 1 species
UUUAAAAAUUAUAUCUUGACUUAUAUGACAUUGCAAAUUAACUUUUUAAAUUAAAAAUCUCGCAAAUUAACAAAAAAGUGUACAUCCUUAUAAUCAUCAUUUUCCCUGUAGUGUCCUACAACCCAUAGUACCUAGUCUCCUACAAACAACAUAAAACAUCAUCAAUUCCAAUUGAUAAUACUUUAAAAUAAAACUUACUAAAUUAAAAAUCUUGCCGAUUAACAAAAAUGUGUACCUCAUUGACAAUCACCAUUUUUCUUGUAGUGUCCUACCUCCUACAAAAAAAAACAGAAAACAUCAUCAAUUUCGAAGCUUCCUCCUCCCUCCAUUGUUGCCUUUCAAGUUUCACCUUCUUCCAUGAAGCGAUGUAUGUUGUUCGGUUCCUUACAAUUUUGUUGUUAUCAUAGUAGAGCCUUUACUUCCUUAAAUUCACACUAGCAUUAAACCCUAAUAGUUUGUCAUUUUGUGAAUUAAGGAUGAGCCCCAAACAAGAACAAAGAUGUAAGAAAUCGUAACUAUAGAAGUUGGUGCCGGUUUGGUUGAUCAUCCGCAACAUAAUUCCGAAUCACAAGUUCACAACACUAUCGACAUCGCUCUAUUACCAAAUUGCUCAAAUAAUUAGACUGCAAAUUGUUCCAUGGACGACGUUCAUCAGGGGAAUUGAACUCCAAACCUUUUGACUGAGCACCCAACACACUAACCAUAUCAACAGUAGAAUUUUUUAAUAUUAUAGGCAUUCACUUUUUUUUUUAAACUUUCUUGAUAUUUAAGUUCCAAUUUCAUAUUUAAGAAGCCUCUAAAUCCGUAAAAAUCAUGAAUACAUCAAGAAUGAUUCUCAGAGCUAGAUGAACGACAUAUGGCUGAACGAUGCGAUUUAACAUAUAUAGAACAAGAUCUAUGUGCUAUUUAGAUAAAGAAUGUAUUCUACGAUGCUUUUCAGAAUAUGAAAUUACGUUGUGGUUUGUUGUUUCGUUGAUAAUUGAAUUUUUUGUUGUAUAGUUACUUGAAGAGAGAUUAGGUUUGGAAUGGCUUGAGAGGAAUGAAUGAAGGAAAAGCACUCUGACUGGCAAAACCCUAAUCAUAAAACAACUAUUAGUAAAAUGUACAGAUCAUGCGUAAGGAAAUAAAAAAAGAGAAAGCAAGGGAUAAGGGAGGUGGGUGGAUGGAGGUGAUGACAGAAGACUAGGGAGUAGAAAAGAUGGAGAUAUGCAUGGUUCGACAUCUCAGAUCAUCAGUGCUUUCUAUCUUCUGUCAACAACUAAUAUAUCCAAACCCACCUCUUUCACACAAACAUAUUAUGAAAGUGAUGACAGAAACAUAGAGAGCACAAAUGAUGGCGAUGUGGGGUUUGACGACAUCCCAAAAUCAUCUGUGCUCUCUAUCUUCUGUCAACAAACCGAACAGUACACUCACCCUUUCUUCGUAAACAUACUAUUGUUCGUUGUCAAAGCAACGG